CAUCAUUCACGAGGACGGACCCCGCAGACUCUGCUCCAGUUGAACACCCUCCUCGAGGCGACCCGCUUGAAAGAUGAUUACAAAAACUGUGUCAACUUGCUUCAUUUUGUAAACAAGUGGCGACAUGAACUGAAGUGUUGCAGCCCUGUGACGCUAUAUAGGACACUUUGGGACUUGGCUGUCUACAUCAACAUGGUGUAAACAAACAAGAAUGGGUCCACCACACUGAGACGAUCAGGAUGGCUUUUACAGUGCUAAAUUGAGAGGAAAACUGGAACUGCUAGCAACCGAGAAAAGGUCUGGUCUGGUUUUUGUUUGGUCAUUUUGGCUGAUAUGAAUUUUCUCAGCGUGAGGAUACUCAGGCUCUCAUUGUCAGAGACAGAGCAAUCAGAAAAGAAGACGGACCCACUGAGAACUGCAGGUUCUGCAGGUUGCAAUGUCCCGAAUUUUGGUUGCCAAUCUUGUUUGUUUUGGUUCAAUUAGGAAUUUCCAAACCAGCGCAGAGCCCGGGGGACCAGAGUGAGUGUGUGAUACACACAAAGUGUAUAUACAAUUGUGUUGUUUACAUUUGUUUAUUUAGGUUUAAUAGUUGUAAGAUAUGUUCGUGCAGUAUUUGUUUGCAAAACAGUGGACAUUUGCGUUUUCAUGGAGAGGACUUUUAUUUUGACACUCAAUCCAGGGAAUCUACCACGGCGAACUGCGCGCUCACUCAGGUCGCCAGAGGAGCUGCAAAGGAGCAGACGUGACUCCGUGGUUUUCACUUUAUUAACCUGUUUUACAGGUAAAUAUGGACAAACUAAACAUACUAUUACAGUGAUUGUGUAUUAUUUUGAUGUGUGGAAUAUGUACAAGUGUAUGAGGUGAUUUAAGAGUAUUUUUGAGUGCCGAUUAUAUGUUAUGUUUGGACUAAUGUAAAAAAAUAAGUUGUUAAGUGUGCUUCAGUGAUCAGUAUUGUAGUCGAUGUUAUUGUGUUAUUUGUUUUGAGGCAAAGCUACCUGUUAAGACAUGUAAAGAGUUAAUUUAUUACAGUUAAAAGGCUCCGUGAGGCUCACUCAGCACUCGCGUUUGGCGCGCCUAAGGGUCAGGUGACCACCCACUCAAGAGAAGCACAGAGAGCUGCUGCAGCUAUAGGGUUUCUCUGAAAAUGCCUCCAUAUGAGAGAAAAUGGUGUAGUUAAGUUCACAUUUACUAAGAAUAUGAGUAUUGCUGAGUUUAUACUAGUUUUACAGCUUUAUAUGUACAUCUACAAAUAAUAUAUUUGUAAUUAAUAAUUGUUAAUAUUGAUUAAGAUGUUUAUUGAGUAUAUUAAGAACAACUAAAAGGAGAAAAAUGAGAAGAUGAGACCGAGUGAUUGAUUUUUGAUGUUGUGGACACUAAAUCCACUAUUAUUGGUUUUAUCUGUUCUAAAGUGACAAAAUGUGAGAGACAGACAGUAUAUUGUCAAUUGUGAAAGAUUUAAAAGCAAAUGUCUUUUUAUUUUCUGAUGCUGUACGAUAAAUGUGCAGAAAGCCAGUGGAGCUGCAAAGAAGCAGACGUGACUCCGUGGUUUUCACUUUAUCAUCCUGUUUUACAGUUAUACAGUUAUCUGUCAGCUGGGUCUCUGGAGUGCUCCGACUCGGUCCCCCCUGGUCCAUUCAUUUGUUAUUUUGUUUUUUAGGAAUUUGUGUGACAUGUUUGUUUUAAGUGUAAAUACUUGCAUAUAUAUAUAUAUAUAUAUUUUUUUUUAAUGAUGUAAAGUAAUUAUGAAACCUAUAAAUACAUGAAGUCAAUAUUAAAUUUAUGUUAAAAGCAUUAUUAAAAAAGGCAUUAACUAGUAAAACUAAAAGAAACAAAAAACAACUGCACUUUUAAUACUUCAUAAUGUAAAUGACCUCUGAUUGACUAACCUGACAUGGUUUGCACAGCUUAUCUCAAAAGAACCAAAAAAAAGUUUGUGUAUAAAAUAAGUCGCUAAUUUUGAGAUAGAAAAAUAAUAAUAAGUAACGACUUUCUCAGUCGAUAUGUUUAUAUUAUUUAAAGAAAAACAAGGAUGGCACAACACCACCUGAAUCCAUAUCUGAAAUCCACAAGAUUUGUUUUCUGUUUGAGAGAACAGAGUAAUCCAUUCAUUCAGCUAUUUUAUGCAGGUUCCUUAAAGUUCCUUACGCUGAAAAAAAGUACAAUGAAAAAGAGUCCCAUUAUUGCUAAAAUAAAUCCAGUGUCAGCA